rnacentral:ncRNA from 1 species
CUUCCGCUCUCCCCGCACAGGAGGGCGGAUCGAGGCCCGCGGCGCUCUCUGCCCUGACUGCGCCCGGGCCUUACAGAUCGACCGGUCCCGGGACGGGGCCGUGCCCCCGACCGCACAGGGGGCACCUCCCGCCCAUUGGUACGGGACCGGCCGAUGUCAGCUCCGGGCUGCGGUGCCGGACAGGUUGAGGGUCCUGUCCCGGCGC